GAGAGAGAGAGAGAGAGAGAGAGAGAGAGAGAGAGAGAGAGAGAGAGAGAGAGAGAGAGAGAGAGAGAGAGAGAGAGUUGUUUCUGAAAUUCUUAUCAGGAAAUCUCUUUAGGCGUGACGAGAUAGAUAGAAGCGAUAGAAAUAGAGAUAGAGAUAGAGGAGGGAUAGAAAUAGAGAUAGAGAUAGAGGAGCGAUAGAAAUAGAGAUAGAAGCGAGAUAGGCAUUGACAGAGAUAAAGGAGAGAGAUAAGAGAUUCAUGUCCUCAGAUUAUACCGUCUCUCCCAGCAUCUAUUUCCAAAACUAUAAAAGAAGAAAAAUCAUGCUUCUAAUAAGUGUUUUUUUAGGUUCAUGGUAUAGAAGAAGGGUCACACUACCAGCAGGGUCACCAAACUACCCCUGGAAACGCCCACAACUCCUAUGAAAGCCUUGUCAAAUAUGUGUUUCUAGGUUCAUGGUAUAGAAGAAGGGUCACACUACCAGCAGGGUCACCAAACUACCCCUGGAAACGCCCACAACUCCUAUGAAAGCCUUGUCAAAUAUGUGUUUCUAGGUUCAUGGUAUAGAAGAAGGGUCAGACUACCACCAGGGUCAACAAACUACCCCUGGAAACGCCCACAACUCCUAUGAAAGCCUUGUCAAAUAUGUGUUUCUAGGUUCGUGGUACAGAAGAAGGGUCACACUACCACCAGGGUCAACAAACUACCCCUGGAAACGCCCACAACGUCUUGAAAGCCUUGCCAAAUUUGUGUAUGUGCGGUAAAAUGUUUGAGAAUAUGACCCCAAAAAAUGCCCACAACGUCUACGAAAGCCUUGCCAAAUUUGUGUGUUUGGGCUCCGAAAUGUUUAAGAAAGGCAUGACCCACAGAGUUACCGAUGCGCGUGUGACGACCUGGCGACUCAUGACUACGGCCUGAAGGCGUAUAUAGCUGUGACGCUCUUCUUCCUGUGGGUGUGUUUGCUCACUCCUACGACCCCAGGACAGUGUUGAGGUAUGGAGGGAGAGCAUGGUAGGUAAAUAGGAGAGACUGAAGGAAAAGGCAGAUGUACAGAGGAUGGCCCGGGUGGAUUUAUAAGUAGAGAGAGUAGUAGUAGUAGUAGUAGUAGUAGUAAAAAUUGUACUAGGGCGCACUUUCAGGAAACAGUUUUUAACAUUUUGCAUUACUCUAAGAUAAAGACUGAACACAGAUAGUUUUGAUAUUACGUGAUAUAGCAGGAGAAACUCGACGCAUGGGACAACUUACUUUUUCAAUACACGAGAAACACACGUAUAAAGUUGGAAUUAUAAGACACUCGCUUCGUCGGGUUCCAGUGAGUGUUUCUUCAGGUUCACGGUACAGAAGAAGACUCACACUACCACCAGGGUCAUAAAACUACCCCUGGAAAUGCCCACAACUCCUACGAAGGCCUUGUCAAAUAUGUGUUUCUUCAGGUUCACGGUACAGAGGAAGACUCACACUACCACCAGGGUCAUAAAACUACCCCUGGAAAUGCCCACAACUCCUACGAAGGCCUUGUCAAAUAUGUGUUUCUUCAGGUUCACGGUACAGAGGAAGACUCACACUACCACCAGGGUCAUAAAACUACCUCUGGAAACUCCCACAACGUCUACGAAGGCCUUGUCAAAUAUGUGUUUCUUCAGGUUCACGGUACAGAAGAAGACUCACACUACCACCAGGGUCAUAAAACUACCCCUGGAAAUGCCCACAAAUCCUACGAAAGCCUUGUCAAAUAUGUGUUUCUUCAGGUUCACGGUACAGAGGAAGACUC